GCCCAGAUGGGAUUAGCUAGUAGGUGGGGUAAAGGCUCACCUAGGCGACGAUCCCUAGCUGGUCUGAGAGGAUGACCAGCCACACUGGAACUGAGACACGGUCCAGACUCCUACGGGAGGCAGCAGUGGGGAAUAUUGCACAAUGGGCGCAAGCCUGAUGCAGCCAUGCCGCGUGUAUGAAGAAGGCCUUCGGGUUGUAAAGUACUUUCAGCGGGGAGGAAGGGAGUAAAGUUAAUACCUUUGCUCAUUGACGUUACCCGCAGAAGAAGCACCGGCUAACUCCGUGCCAGCAGCCGCGGUAAUACGGAGGGUGCAAGCGUUAAUCGGAAUUACUGGGCGUAAAGCGCACGCAGGCGGUUUGUUAAGUCAGAUGUGAAAUCCCCGGGCUCAACCUGGGAACUGCAUCUGAUACUGGCAAG
rnacentral:rRNA from 1 species